rnacentral:tRNA from 1 species
GAGAGCAUAGCUCAAACAGCAGAGUGCAUGCUUAGCACGCACGAGGUCCUGGGUUCAAUCCCCAGUACUUCCU